rnacentral:rRNA from 1 species
GACGAACGCUGGCGGCGUGCUUAACACAUGCAAGUCGAACGGUAAGGCCCUUCGGGGUACACGAGUGGCGAACGGGUGAGUAACACGUGGGUGAUCUGCCCUGCACUUCGGGAUAAGCCUGGGAAACUGGGUCUAAUACCGGAUAGGACCACUGCCUGCAUGGGUGGUGGUGGAAAGCUUUUGCGGUGUGGGAUGGGCCCGCGGCCUAUCAGCUUGUUGGUGGGGUUGUGGCCUACCAAGGCGACGCCGGGUAGCCGGCCUGAGAGGGUGACCGGCCACACUGGGACUGAGAUACGGCCCAGACUCCUACGGGAGGCAGCAGUGGGGAAUAUUGCACAAUGGGCGCAAGCCUGAUGCAGCGACGCCGCGUGAGGGAUGACGGCCUUCGGGUUGUAAACCUCUUUCAGCACCGACGAAGCGCAAGUGACGGUAGGUGCAGAAGAAGGACCGGCCAACUACGUGCCAGCCGCCGCGGUAA